CAGGACUGCUCUACCUCCAUCCUGUGGUACGAUCCGUGUGGCUUUGGACAGAACUCAGUGAACAACCUCAAGUAUUUCUCAAGUUUUUCUUCAUUUCUCCUGUAUCUCUGAGCUGUUUUGUACUGUGAGAGCUAGAUCGAGGGAUGGAAGGCAUUGACUCAGAGCUAAAGGCAGUCUGUGCACAAGGGGAUAUGUGGAUUCUCAUUUUGUGUCCAAAGAAAUUGUGGGUGCAAUUAAGAUAUUAAAUUCAAGGAAACUGUAUAGAUUAGCUGGAGGAGUUUAGUAAAUAGUUAAAGGAUCAGCUAAUCCUUCCUUUACUGAUGACUUACAUCAGCUCUUUACUUGCAGUAGCUCCAGCUUUGCUUUCCAGGCUUGUAGCUCAGCUACUGCAUAAAGAGUUCCACGGCAGGAAGGCAGCAAAAGCAGAAAAGAGGUCAAUGGGCAACCCCUCCCUCCAAGGUUCCACGCAGGGAGAGGCUGCCACCGCUUUCCAAGCUGUUAUAAACCAAGCAAACCCAAAUUUCAGGUGAGACCUCCUUCUUUGGCUUUGGUUCAAAACUAUGAAGUGGAAAACUCCUGUCUAGAGGUCUAUGCAAACCUCUGUCUCUUUAAGUUGGUCUGAACAAACUACUAUUGCUCUUGCUUUAAAGAAAAUGUCAUAACUUGUUUAAAGAAGAAAAAGAAAGAAAUUUCCCAAGAAAAGCAUAAACAUUCACAGUGCUGCUCAGCAGAAAUAUGCUGUGGCCUCUUUCCACCGGGAAGGCAGAGGAAAUUGGGAUUUCACCCCCCUGACCUCUUUUAGGAAAAAAAUACAUAUAACUUCAAAUAACUUCAUUUUGGUGUCAGCAUUCAACAGAGUUCCAAAAAAAAAAAAGAAAAAAAGAGAGAGAUGAAGGAGAUGAAGUCUCCUUUCCCCUUCCUCUAGAGCACAGAACAGGAAUCUAGUAUUAUCGUGUCAUCAUUGUACAAGAGAGAACUAUUUAUAAUUUUCUGAACUUCCAUCUUGUAAGCAGGGAAAUACAACAGCUUCUUUAAAAAGCCCAGCAGGGAUUUUUCUGAAUUUGCACAACACGGAGUCAUCUAACAGGAGAAAAAAAAAAAAAACAAAAAACAUUUCUGCUAGUGCAGCCAUAGCUGUAUCUUAAAAUCUAGAUGCUAAACAGACACGUGUGUUCAACAAGGCAUCUUGUCCAUGCUGCUUGUUCUUAAGGUACAAACAGUACAAGGAACAACUCAGUGAGAUUCUAGUCCCAGAUGAGCAACUGGGUUCUGCCAAAAUAGAAAUAUGCUGUUAAUUUUCCUCAGUGACAGCACUGCCACAUCGUCAUCCUACAUGACAUCUGAUCAUAUCCGGGUGGACUUAAUGCUUUAAAGUACUAGACAUCAAUGAAAACAAAGACAGGGGUAGCAGUGGAGGGCGUUUGACAGCAGGAUGGCACCACUCCAAGCUCUCAAGGCAAGUCCCUGGCAAAUAGUAAGCAAUUUUGUUGAAAGAGUGAAAGAGCAGUGAGCAGAACGGCCCUGAGGAGGUGCAUUGCAGCAAAUGGGUGUGGGGCUGUUGUGGAUGAUGCUGCCCUGAUGGGGGAGGAAGACCCCAAGCCCCUGUGUCCUCCAAGAGCAGGGCAGCACAAGGGAGAACACUGGUGGGGAAAGGAACAGGGCAGAGAAAUGGGAAGGAGUGGGAGGUCUUUACUGAUGUGACACAAGCGCCUCUGUGACUUGGAGUUGUCCUGAAGGUGGCUGGGGGCAAGGGGUGGCCACAUCAGAACAAGCAUGAUGCACACUUGUCUGAUUUAUGAAAAGUCCAGUGCACUUUGAUCCCCUCCUAGUCCUCAGGAUGGGAUUGGUCUAAUGAUGUGUAUCUGCUGGUAUGCAGCAAGGUGUAACCCCCAGCCUUCUUCUGAAGGUGUCCUAUGUGUACGUGGUAUGAUUUGAGACCAGAGCCCAUUUUACAGCGGAGUUUUCAGCAACCUGUUUACCGUCAUAAAUAAGGUCAAAUCUCGAAAGCUUAAUUCUUCUGUGUCUGAUGUGUCUCUUCUGUAUUUUAUAGUAUGUAACCGUGGGUGCUUUAAAAGAGCAUGUGAAUUACAGGUAUGUGAUCAGGAGUCUGCCCUCCCUUAGUAAAAGUGUCAAUCACCUCCUGACUCAACCUUAAUCUUCAAAAUAGCCUAUAAGGUCAUAGAAAAGACACAGAACUCAGGAUUUUUGCUGAAAAUAGAGUCCUUGUGUCUUUUUCAAAUAUGGAUGUCUUUUAAAUAAAAGCCAGUGGCAAUGAUUAUAAUUGAAUGGC
rnacentral:lncRNA from 1 species